CACCCUCACCAGAAUGGCCCACUAAGCUUUUCUUCUUACAGAAUUCUAACACUUCUGUUGCCCCAAAGCUCCAAGCUCUUCCACAUUCCGCCCAUAAACAGUUCCAAAGGCCCACGACUCCUAUGGACCAACUUAUCACCGUAGUGCUCCCGCAUCUCAGUAUCAGUUUUACCUCAGUUACUUUUCUCAUUGCUCUGAGAAAUCAAAGAAAAUUUAAUACAAGAAUUCAGCAGAAUCUAGUAAAAGAAAGUCUAGUAGUCCAGCCUGUGGGCCGGCGGUACGCACGUUCAGGAGGUGUCAGCUUCCUCAGUUAAACCUCGCUGGAAACAUCUUCACAGACAGUGAUGAGCCUCCUAGAUGACUCUAAAUCCACUUGAGUUGGCAAUGAAGAUUAUCCAUCACACAAAUCUUAACUAAAGUAAUAAUAAUAAUAAAUGUUUCUUUU
rnacentral:lncRNA from 1 species